rnacentral:rRNA from 1 species
UACGAAGGGGACUAGCGUUGUUCGGAAUCACUGGGCGUAAAGCGCACGUAGGCGGAUGUGUCAGUCAGGGGUGAAAUCCCGGGGCUCAACCUCGGAACUGCCUUUGAUACAGCACGUCUCGAGUCCGGAAGAGGUGGGUGGAAUUCCUAGUGUAGAGGUGAAAUUCGUAGAUAUCGGGAGGAACACCAGUGGCGAAGGCGACUUCCUGGCCUGUUCUUGACGCUGAGGCGCGAAAGCUAGGGGAGCAAACGGG